rnacentral:tRNA from 1 species
GUGGCUCAGUGGGUAGGGCAUCGGCCCUAUAUGCCGAGGGUAGCGGGUUCAAGCCCGGCC